GUGAAUCAUCGAAUUUUUGAACGCAAAUUGCGCUUCCUGGCAUUCCGGGGAGUAUGCCUGUUUGAGGGUCAGUACUAACAAAAAAUAGGUUUGGUUGCUAUGUGUGACGUUUCUGGAGUUUGCGCUAUCUUAACUUUUUUGGUUAAGGGGCUUAAAAUGGACCUUUUUUGCGCCUUUUUAGACGUACAUAACUUUUUUUUUAAUUCGUCGACUCUUUAGGCCAAAAUC
rnacentral:misc_RNA from 1 species